GGAUUUCGGAAUCGUCUGCAGACGACUUAAGUACCGGGCGGGGUGUUGUACUCGGCAGAGCAGUUACCACGCUGCGAUCUGUUAAGACUGCCCU
rnacentral:rRNA from 1 species